rnacentral:misc_RNA from 1 species
GAUGAAGAACGCAGCAAAAUGCGAUACUUGGUGUGAAUUGCAGAAUCCCGUGAACCAUCGAGUUUUUGAACGCAAGUUGCGCCCGAAGCCUUUUGGCCGAGGGCACGUCUGCCUGGGCGUCACGCAUCGCGUCGCCCCCCACAAUUCUUCGUAAAGGGAACGUGUGUUUUGGGGGCGGAUAUUGGUCUCCCGUGCUCAUGGCGUGGUUGGCCGAAAUAGGAGUCCUUUCGAUGGACGCACGAACUAGUGGUGGUCGUAAAAACCCUCGUCUUUUGUUUCGUGCUGUUGCUCGCAAGGUAAACUCUUUAAAAACCCCAAUGUGUCGUCUCUUGACGACGCUUCGACCGCGACCCCAGGUCAGGCGGGACUACCCGCUGAGUUUAAGCAUAUCAAUAAGCGGAGGA